GGUGGAAAUAGUUUAACGGUAGAACAACAGAGCUAGCUCUGGAUAUACUGGUUCGAAUCCAGUUUUCCUCC
rnacentral:tRNA from 1 species